rnacentral:miRNA from 1 species
AUCGUUUGCAUCCGUUUCUAC